rnacentral:rRNA from 1 species
CCUACGGGUGGCAGCAGUGAGGAAUAUUUGUCAAUGGGCGUAAGCCUGAACCAGCCAAGUCGCGUGAGGGAUGAAGGUUCUAUGGAUCGUAAACCUCUUUUAUAAGGGAAUAAAGUGUGGGACGUGUCCUAUUUUGUAUGUACCUUAUGAAUAAGGAUCGGCUAACUCCGUGCCAGCAGCCGCGGUAAUACGGAGAAUCCGAGCGUUAUCCGGAUUUAUUGGGUUUAAAGGGUGCGUAGGAGGCCGUUUAAGUCAGCGGUGAAAGUCUGUGGCUCAACCAUAGAAUUGCCGUUGCAACUGGGGGGCUUGAGUAUGUUUGAGGAAGGCGGAAUGCGUGGUGUAGCGGGGAAAUGCUUAGAUAUCACGCAGAACCCCGAUUGCGAAGGCAGCCUGCCAAGCCAUGACUGACGCUGAUGCACGAAAGCGUGGGGAUCAAACAGGAUUAGAGACCCUAGUAGUC